rnacentral:rRNA from 1 species
GGAUAGUGGCGACGGGUGAGUAACACGUGGGCAAUCUGCCCUGCACUCUGGGACAAGCCCUGGAAACGGGGUCUAAUACCGGAUACUGACCCUCGCAGGCAUCUGCGAGGUUCGAAAGCUCCGGCGGUGCAGGAUGAGCCCGCGGCCUAUCAGCUUGUUGGUGAGGUAAUGGCUCACCAAGGCGACGACGGGUAGCCGGCCUGAGAGGGCGACCGGCCACACUGGGACUGAGACACGGCCCAGACUCCUACGGGAGGCAGCAGUGGGGAAUAUUGCACAAUGGGCGAAAGCCUGAUGCAGCGACGCCGCGUGAGGGAUGACGGCCUUUCGGGUUGUAAACCUCUUUCAGCAGGGAAGAAGCGAAAGUGACGGUACCUGCAGAAGAAGCGCCGGCUAACUACGUGCCAGCAGCCGCGGUAAUACGUAGGGCGCAAGCGUUGUCCGGAAUUAUUGGGCGUAAAGAGCUCGUAGGCGGCUUGUCGCGUCGGUUGUGAAAGCCCGGGGCUUAACCCCGGGUCUGCAGUCGAUACGGGCAGGCUAGAGUUCGGUAGGGGAGAUCGGAAUUCCUGGUGUAGCGGUGAAAUGCGCAGAUAUCAGGAGGAACACCGGUGGCGAAGGCGGAUCUCUGGGCCGAUACUGACGCUGAGGAGCGAAAGCGUGGGGAGCGAACAGGAUUAGAUACCCUGGUAGUCCACGCCGUAAACGGUGGGCACUAGGUGUGGGCAACAUUCCACGUUGUCCGUGCCGCAGCUAACGCAUUAAGUGCCCCGCCUGGGGAGUACGGCCGCAAGGCUAAAACUCAAAGGAAUUGACGGGGGGCCCGCACAAGCGGCGGAGCAUGUGGCUUAAUUCGACGCAACGGCGAAGAACCUUACCAAGGGCUUGACAUACACCGGAAACCAUCACAGAUGGGCGCCCCCCUUGUGGUCGGUGUACAGGUGGUGCAUGGCUGUCGUCAGCUCGUGUCGUGAGAUGUUGGGUUAAGUCCCGCAACGAGCGCAACCCUUGUCCCGUGUUGCCAGCAGGCCCUUGUGGUGCUGGGGACUCACGGGAGACCGCCGGGGUCAACUCGGAGGAAGGUGGGGACGACGUCAAGUCAUCAUGCCCCUUAUGUCUUGGGCUGCACACGUGCUACAAUGGCCGGUACAAUGAGCUGCGAUACCGCAAGGUGGAGCGAAUCUCAAAAAGCCGGUCUCAGUUCGGAUUGGGGUCUGCAACUCGACCCCAUGAAGUCGGAGUCGCUAGUAAUCGCAGAUCAGCAUGCUGCGUGCCAG